rnacentral:rRNA from 1 species
CCUACGGGGUGCAGCAGUGAGGAAUAUUGGUCAAUGGACGAGAGUCUGAACCAGCCAAGUAGCGUGAAGGAUGACUGCCCUAUGGGUUGUAAACUUCUUUUAUAUGGGAAUAAAAUGUUCCACGUGUGGGAUUUUGUAUGUACCAUAUGAAUAAGGAUCGGCUAACUCCGUGCCAGCAGCCGCGGUAAUACGGAGGAUCCGAGCGUUAUCCGGAUUUAUUGGGUUUAAAGGGAGCGUAGGUGGAUUGUUAAGUCAGUUGUGAAAGUUUGCGGCUCAACCGUAAAAUUGCAGUUGAAACUGGCAGUCUUGAGUACAGUAGAGGUGGGCGGAAUUCGUGGUGUAGCGGUGAAAUGCUUAGAUAUCACGAAGAACUCCGAUUGCGAAGGCAGUUCACUGGACUGCAACUGACACUGAGGCUCGAAAGUGUGGGUAUCAAACAGGAUUAGAUAACCCUGUAGUC